rnacentral:rRNA from 1 species
AUUGAACGCUGGCGGAAUGCUUUACACAUGCAAGUCGAACGGCAGCACGGACUUCGGUCUGGUGGCGAGUGGCGAACGGGUGAGUAAUAUAUCGGAACGUAUCUAAUAAUGGGGGAUAACUAAUCGAAAGGCUGGCUAAUACCGCAUACGUCCUACGGGAGAAAGCUAGGGACCUUCGGGCCUGGCGUUAAUGGAGCGGCCGAUAUCUGAUUAGCUAGUUGGUGAGGUAAAGGCUCACCAAGGCGACGAGCAGUAGCUGGUCUGAGAGGACGAACAGCCACACUGGAACUGAGACACGGUCCAGACUCCUACGGGAGGCAGCAGUGGGGAAUUUUGGACAAUGGGCGCAAGCCUGAUCCAGCCAUUCCGCGUGAGUGAAGAAGGCCUUCGGGUUGUAAAGCUCUUUCGCAAGGGAAGAAAACUUAUCCUCUAACAUAGGGUGAGGUUGACGGUACCUUGAUAAGAAGCACCGGCUAACUACGUGCCAGCCGCCGCGGUAAUAC